UGUUAUUUAGAUUUAUUUUCUAAAUUGUUCAAUUGUCAAUUGGGAGAAGCCUUAGGGGGUAAUAACAU
rnacentral:tRNA from 2 species